GGGGAUAUAGCUCAGUUGGUAGAAUGUUUGCCUCCAGUGCAUAAGGCUCUGGGUUCAAUCCCCAGCACCA
rnacentral:tRNA from 1 species